rnacentral:rRNA from 1 species
AACGAACGCUGGCGGCAGGCUUAACACAUGCAAGUCGAGCGCCCCGCAAGGGGAGCGGCAGACGGGUGAGUAACGCGUGGAAUCUACCGUGCCCUACGGAAUAACGCAUGGAAACGUGUGCUAAUACCGUAUACGCCCUACGGGGGAAAGAUUUAUCGGGGUAUGAUGAGCCCGCGUUGGAUUAGCUAGUUGGUGGGGUAAAGGCCUACCAAGGCGACGAUCCAUAGCUGGUCUGAGAGGAUGAUCAGCCACAUUGGGACUGAGACACGGCCCAAACUCCUAGGGGAGGCAGCAGUGGGGAAUAUUGGACAAUGGGCGCAAGCCUGAUCCAGCCAUGCCGCGUGAGUGAUGAAGGUCUUAGGAUUGUAAAGCUCUUUCACCGGUGAAGAUAAUGACGGUAACCGGAGAAGAAGCCCCGGCUAACUUCGUGCCAGCCGCCGCUGUAA